rnacentral:rRNA from 1 species
CACGUAGGGGGCAAGCGUUGUCCGGAAUUAUUGGGCGUAAAGAGCGUGUAGGCGGCCAGGUAGGUCUGCUGUGAAAACUCGAGGCUCAACCUCGAGAGGUCAUCGGAAACCAUCUGGCUAGAGUCCGGAAGAGGAGAGUGGAAUUCCCGGUGUAGCGGUGAAAUGCGCAGAUAUCGGGAAGAACACCCAUGGCGAAGGCAGCUCUCUGGGACGGUACUGACGCUGAGACGCGAAAGCGUGGGGAGCGAACGAGGA